GGAGCAAGCUCAGUUGGUUAGAGCAUGGUGCUGACAAGAGUGCGGUGCUGAUAAUGCCAAGGUUGCAGGCUCAAUCCCUGUACAGUGGUACCU